rnacentral:tRNA from 2 species
GUCCCCUUCGCCAAGUGGAAAAGGCAUGAGAUUUCUAAUCUCACAUACGCGGGUCCGAAUCCUGCAGGGGAUA